GACGGAGGGUGCAAGCGUUGCUCGGAAUCACUGGGCGUAAAGCGUGCGCAGGCGGUUUUGUAAGUUUGUCGUGAAAUCCCCGGGCUCAACCUGGGAAUGGCGAUGAAGACUGCAAGGCUAGAAUCUGGCAGAGGGGGGUAGAAUUCCACGUGUAGCAGUGAAAUGCGUAGAGAUGUGGAGGAACACCGAUGGCGAAGGCAGCCCCCUGGGUCAAGAUUGACGCUCAUGCACGAAAGCGUGGGGAGCAAACAGG
rnacentral:rRNA from 1 species